UGGCAUUUGCGGGGUGCUAUACAUGCAGUCGAGCGAAUGGAUUAAGAGCUUGCUCUUAUGAAGUUAGCGGCGGACGGGUGAGUAACACGUGGGUAACCUGCCCAUAAGACUGGGAUAACUCCGGGAAACCGGGGCUAAUACCGGAUAACAUUUUGAACCGCAUGGUUCGAAAUUGAAAGGCGGCUUCGGCUGUCACUUAUGGAUGGACCCGCGUCGCAUUAGCUAGUUGGUGAGGUAACGGCUCACCAAGGACCACCGUUGGGUGAGGCGAACCUUGAGAGGUGUGAUCUGCCCCACCUGGGACUCGAGACACUUGUCCAGAGUCCGUACGGGAGGCAGCAUGUACCAGGGAAUCUUCCGCAAUGGAGGAAAGUCUGACGGAGCAACGUCGCGUGAGUGAUGAAGGCUAUUCGGGUCGUAAAACUGUGUUGUUAGGGAAGAACCAUGUGCUAGUUGAAUCAUGCUCGGCACCUUGACGGUACCUAACCAGAAAGGCACGGCUAACUACGUGCCAGCAGUCGCGGUAAUACGUAGGUGGCAAGCGUUAUCUGGAAUUAUUGGGCGUAAAGCGCGCGCAGGUGGUUUCUUAAGUGUGAUGUGACACGCCCCACGGCUCAACCGUGGAGGGUCAUUGGAAACUGGGAGACUUGAGUGCAGAAGAGGAAAGUGGAAUUCCAUGUGUAGCGGUGAAAUGCGUAGAGAUAUGGAGGAACACCAGUGGCGAAGGCGACUUUCUGGUCUGUAACUGACAGUGAGGCGCGAAAGCGUGGGGGAGCAAACAGGAUUAGAUACCCUGGUAGUCCACGCCGUACACGAUGAGUGCUAAGGUGUUAGAGGGUGUCCUCCGCCCUUUACUGCAGAAUUUAACGCAUUAAGCACAUCCGCCCUGGCGGAGGGUACGGCCCCGCAAGGGUUUUACUCAAAAGGAUUUGAAGGCGGCGCGGCCCCGCACGUGGCGGUGGAGGUUGUGGUUUAAUUUGAACAAACGCGCAGCACCUUUACCCGGCCGGGGUCUUGCCUUCCUUCUGACCAAUGUUUUAGUUAGGGCUUCUCCAUAUGGGGAGCCAGAGUUUACAGCGUGGUUGCAUGUGUUUCUCCCGUCAGCAUCAGAAUGUUUUGAAGAUGUCUGGGAUUAACGUCCCGAACAACAGAGCGCACCCCUUUUGAUCCCCUUUAGUUCCCUUUACUCAAUUAUGUUGAGGCAUAAUCUCACGGGUGGCGCGGCCCCGGUGAGAGAAACCGGACGUAAGGUGGGGAUGACGUUUUUUUCAAAUCAUCACUGCCGCUUAUGACCUGGGCUACACACGUAGCUUUUACAAUGGACGGUGCAAAGCGCUGCACCCAGACUUGCGUGGUUGAGCUAAUUUCAUAGAAAUGACCGAUUCUCAGUAUCGGAUUGUAGGCUUCAACUCGCCUCCAUGAAGCUGGAAUCGCUAGUAAUCGCGGAUCAGCAUGCCGCGGUGAAUACGUUCCCGGGCCUUGUACACACCGCCCGUCACACCACGAGAGUUUGUAACACCCGAAGUCGGUGGGGUAACCUUUUGGAGCCAGCCGCCUAACGGGGAACAGGUAGUG
rnacentral:rRNA from 1 species